CCACCACUCAAGCCCCGCUUGGUGUUGGGUCACGGGGGCGACCCGGACCUCAACGUCGCCGGCUGGAACGCCCCGAUCUCAGCGUUGUGGCAAUUGAAUUCGCUGCCGGAGACGGGUGGGCCACGCCGCUAAACGUCCAUCAAAGG
rnacentral:misc_RNA from 1 species